rnacentral:lncRNA from 1 species
UACAGUGGUGCAGAGGGUGAAGAGUACAAUGAAUAUGAUGAUGAAGAACUGGACGAGGAUGGUAAAAGAGGCAUCUCAUACCAGAUUGAGAAGAACAAGGGGUUAACUGCUCAUAAGAGGAAAGAGUUGCGUAAUCCGCGUGUCAAACACAGAAUGAAAUUCAGGAAAGCUAAAAUUAGGAGGAAAGGCCAGUAUCGUGAACCAAGGACAGAAAUGCAGAAGUAUGGUGGAGAGAUUUCUGGUAUCAGGGCUGGUAUCAAGAGAGGUGUAAAACUGAAAUAAUACAUAUCAGAAAAUGCAAUGCUAUUAAAUGCUAAAAAGACCAAGGCAAUGAACUUGUCGUCAAGACCUACAAAAUUGGUAAACUCACAUAUUACAACUCUGAAGUUAGGAAAUCUACAGAGAAUGAAAAAUUGCCGGGUAUUCAUGUUGAUAAUGUACUCAAAUGGAAAUUACAAGUAGGUAAAACACUUAAGAAAUGCAAUACACAAUUAUAUUUACUGCUACGAAUCAAACACUACCUUGAUCUAAAUACAAGGAAACUAUUUUACAAUGCUUAUAUACUUCCACGCUUGGAUUAUUGCUGCACGAUUUUGAGAAACUGCUCUUACAAUCAAAUCUCUGAAGUGAUUAAAUCAGAAAUGCUAAAACAAUUUCAAAGUUCUUACAUUAAGUGGCAUUUUUCAUCAAACAGCUAAAGGAACCAUCGCUAUCUGAAACAGUAACUUUUUUUUGUUAAGGAUUAUUACUAGGUCACCUAAUUUAAUAUCUUUUUCUUUGGCUUGCUUGUUUAAAUCCUGUAUUGUACGUUUUGUAUUAAUGAUAUUCUGUGCUUGAUAAUGUUUGUUUAAUGUUUUGUAUAUACUGUAUACUGUAUACAUGUAUAUUAUGUUGAGGCCCAAAUGGUAGAUGGGGAAACCCAAUGUGUAGCCUCUGGAAAUAGUCGUUACUUACUUACCGUAGAUACCCAUGUAUAAUGCGCACCCGUGUAUAAUGCGCAUCCCCGAUUUUGGCCCGAAAUCCUGGGAAAAAAAACAUUUUUGGUCAAUUUUGAGGUGGAUGGAAAACGAAAGUAGAGUUUACAUCGACAUCGGUAAUACUUACUUAUCUAUGAACACAUAAUCAACAUUCUUUUGUCUAUCCAUGAACACACAACAUUCUUUUGACUAUCCAUGAACACACAACAUUCUUUUGUCUAUCUCGGAACACACAAUCAACAUUCUUUUUUUCUACAUUUGUAUCUGUGAACACACAGACCACAUUCUUUUGUCUAGUAGCUAUUAACUCACUAUUAACUUUCUUUUGCCCAAAUAUAUUAAUAUGUAUGGUAUUAAAUAAUUAGUUUUCAGUUCUAGUAGCAUCAUGUCAGAUAACAAAAUGAAAGUAGUAUGCGAGUUAUACAUUUGUAUAUAUACAAGGUAAUGAUUAUCAAAUCAAUUUAAAAAACAUACUAAUCUAUAAAAAUGCUUUAUAUUAAAAGAAACUAUCACUGUUUCCAUUUAGAAAAUGAUGAUAGUUUUCCUCUCAGUCCUGUAUAAUCCGAAAUGGAAGUAAGAGAAGGCAGUAUACCUGAGAUGUAUUUCUAGUAAAACCAUUUUUUAUGUCCAAUAUAGUCCAAGGGCGUAGCGCCCAUUACGCAGUUUACGCAACUGCGUAAUACUUUUUUGGCUGACUUGACUUUUUGUGCCC